AGCUCCAAUAGCGUAUAUUAAAGUUGUUGCAGUUAAAAAGCUCGUAGUUGGAUUUCUGGUAGGAACGACCGGUCCGCUUCGAAAGAGGCGUGUACUAGUGUUGUAUCCGGCCAUCCUUGCGGAGAGCGGUUCUGGCAUUAGGUUGUCGGGGUCGGGAUCCGCAUCGUUUACUGUGAAAAAAUUAGAGUGUUUAAAGCAGGCAGUUGCUUGAAUACAUUAGCAUGGAAUAAUAAGAUAGGACUUUGGUGCUAUUUUGUUGGUUUGCACACCAAGGUAAUGAUUAAUAGGGAUAGUUGGGGGUAUUCAUAUUUAAUUGUCAGAGGUGAAAUUCUUAGAUUUAUGAAAGAUGAACUUAUGCGAAAGCAUUUACCAAGGAUGUUUUCAUUAAUCAAGAACGAAA
rnacentral:rRNA from 1 species